rnacentral:rRNA from 1 species
AACGUAGGAGACAAACGUUAUCCGGAGUUACUGGGCGUAAAGGGCGUGCAGGCGGUCUGUUAAGUCUGGCGUGAAAGCUCUCGGCUAAACCGGGAGAGGUCGUUGGAUACUGACGGACUAGAGGACGGUAGAGGCGUGUGGAAUUCCGGGUGUAGUGGUGAAAUGCGUAGAGAUCCGGAGGAACACCAGUGGCGAAGGCGACACGCUGAGCCGUACCUGACGCUAAGACGCGACAGCGUGGGGAGCAAACAGG